UACGUAGGGUGCAAGCGUUGUCCGGAUUUAUUGGGUUUAAAGGGUGCGUAGGUGGCUGAUUAAGUCAUGGGUGAAAGCCCGCAGCUCAACUGUGGAAUUGCCUGUGAUACUGAUUAGCUUGAGUGCGGUUGAGGCAGCUGGAAUUGGUGGUGUAGCGGUGAAAUGCAUAGAUACCACCAGGAACACCGAUUGCGAAGGCAGGUUGCUAAGCCGUAACUGACACUGAGGCACGAAAGAGUGGGGAGCAAACAGG
rnacentral:rRNA from 1 species